AUGUUCCUACAAGUCUUCCAGAGGAGUUCUUAAUGAUUUUGUACCUAGUCUUGGAUGCACUGAGCUGGGUCUACUCUGAGGCAGCAAGCUGCAACCCUGCCCUGUCCAGUCACCUCACUGUCACCUGGAAGAAUCCUGUUCUUUAGUGGAAAUAAGUCACAGACGUCCUCAAAGGCGAACGCUCCAGGUGCACCCCAGAGAGCUGCCCCACUAGCUCUGACUGGCUGAUGCUGUGUUUGGCUCCAAGCACUUCUUGCUAUAAAUCCACCACAGGUGUCCUUACUCUCCAUCACCCAGUCCUUUGUUCCGUCAUUGCCUCAUAUUCAUUUAGCAAGACUUCACUGAGAACUUAGAGACUCGCUGCUUCCCUGUGGGGCUACAACAGUAAACACCACAGACAGGCGCUGGUGGCGAAGACAGCCAAACAGACCAGGAAUUACAAAACACUUCGAAAAGUGCUCUGAUGGGAGAAACACAGAGUGCCGAGGGAACAUGUGGGAGAGAUGUUGGGGAAACUUCUGGAAGGAAGUGGCCAGGUGAGAACUUCAGUCAUUUUGGAUGAGUUCCUCUUCCUAUGCUCCAGCCCCACAUACUAUCUUCCAUGCAUUCUGUUGAUUCUCCGCUGUGACAUCUACCAGGCAGCAGUGAGGAUGCCAGAGUUCAUGGGUUUCUAGAAGACAAGUUUUCAACUGCAGAUACAAACAUCAGGACGUCAAUGUAUCUGCUAGGAGACACCCGGACAGUGUUGAGAACACAGAACCUGGAGGCUAAACCCCCAGCUUUCUAUGCCAGCUGAGAGUCUGUGGGCACAUUACUCAGCGUCUCUGAACCUCAUGCUCCUCCCCUGUGACAUGUAGAUUGCUAAACCCAUCUCACAGGGCUAUCUUCUGCAUUUAAAGAAUAAAAUAACACAUGAGGGGUC
ensembl:lncRNA LINC01191 long intergenic non-protein coding RNA 1191